rnacentral:lncRNA from 1 species
AAAGAAAUAAAAGACAUCUGGAGGGGCAAUAUUAAAGCCAAGGAUGAGACUGGAGAUGAAACUCAGCCCUUUGAGUCUGCUUCUCUGAUUCAAGGAGAAGGACCCACCAGUAGGCACGGCCUGGAGACUACUUGUUUCUUCACAGCAGGCCCAUUGCUCAUGGUCAGUGCUGUAAAGGCCACCUCUCCAGAUCUUCACCACAUCUGCAAUAUUGCCGCUGCCUCCUUCUCUCUCACACCUCCUUCCAGGUCUCUGAUGAAAUGUCUAUACCCAGAAAUGGAAUUGCUGGAUCACAUGACUAAUAAACCCGUGGAAGAAGGACAUGAGGGCAAGGCUGA